GGCAACGCAAUCUAAUGUUAUUAGAUGAGACAGCCGCUCGAGCCCUAGCCUCGCCCAUAACCAGACAUAAUACGCACGUGCCAUGCAUUGCCCGCUGAAUCCCUCGUAAUAGCAGGACGGCAGCUGUGCUCUCAGGCUCCCGGUGCGCGGAAUCGGGGGCGCCGCCGCCAUGUCUCCAGCAGCACAGCCCGGUACUGACAGACACUCACACAUCAACAGCAGCGGGGACAAAGAACUGACCGGGGGAUCGACACGCCUUCUUUGGGUGAGAGAUGGAUGGCACUGGAUACGCGUGAUUAAUCCCGUCACUGACACGCAUUCAACGGCACAAUAGACUCAAUAUGCUGAACUGGUACAGCAUUGCACUAGCAACACCAAGAGAAUUGAUUUGAUUCCCAAGGAACACACUGAUAAUGUUCUGUAUCUUCAAUAUACUUCAGAUAAAAGUGUCUGCAGAGUAAAUAUAAUGUAAAUGUACUUGAAUUAUGACAUCAUUCUGAGGAUAAA